rnacentral:rRNA from 1 species
UAGGGAAUAUUGCAAAAUGGGCGAAAGCCCGAUGCAGCAACGCCGCGUGGGCGAUGAAGGCCUUCGGGUCGUAAAGCCCUUUUUGAGGGGAUGAGGAAGGACAGUACCCUCAGAAUAAGCCUCGGCUAACUACGUGCCAGCAGCCGCGGUAAAACGUAGGAGGCGAGCGUUAUCCGGAUUUACUGGGCGUAAAGCGCGUGCAGGCGGAUUGGAGAGUUGGAUGUGAAAGCUCCCGGCUUAACUGGGAGAGGUCGUUCAAUACUUCCAGUCUUGAGUGCAGUAGAGGGAAGUGGAAUUCCGGGUGUAGUGGUGAAAUGCGUAGAUAUCCGGAGGAACACCAGUGGCGAAAGCGGCUUCCUGGACUGUAACUGACGCUCAGACGCGAAAGCUGGGGUAGCAAACG